UUUUAUUUCAAUUGAUUAGGAACGUGAGUUUUUGUUUUGCCUUCAAUUGGCAUUUGGCCAGAAAAUUUUCAGCCUCAUUGAAUUUCUUCUUGAUUUUCCUUAGCCUCUUCUCUCUCGCCCACAGCUUCAGUUUCUUCGUCUUCGUUUUGUUCUCGUUUUCCUUUUCACUACAUUUUAGCAAAUGACUUUCUUGGCAAAAACUUUUAAAUUUGUUGUAUCAUCUAUUUUUAAUGUCAAACCGUAGGCGGCAGUGAAGGAGGAAAAUCGAGAUACAAAAGAUAGAGGGAGAGAGAGAGAGAGAGAGAGAUACAAUCAUCGAAUGAGUCAAAUGGAAUUUCCUUGCCUUGUUUCCCCUGUGUUCCUGUCGCUGUCCUGUUCUAUUACCAAGUUCUCACAUGCAGGUGAAAUUUUAAAUUUGUAUACUGGAAAAUGUAUGACAUAAGGAGAUCGAAAAGUUCUACAAAUCAAAGGAUUCCGCGGACCUUGAGAAGGUUUUCUUCUGUGGGCUACAAUCGAGUCAUCAAUGGCCCUGAUUCCCCAUGACAGGUCCACACCUUUCCCUCCAAAUCGAACACAAUAUUUCCAAGAACUCUAAAAAAUAUUCCCAAUCGCAGCAGUCAUUGGGAUUGCCAUUUUGGGGACUGACAGAUUGAGUAGUAUUUAUAUUUCAGUCCCAAAACAGAUUGUGUAGCGUAAAUACAUAUAUUUUAAUCAAAAUUUUUUUAUUCCGUUCUAAGUGGCAAAAUUUCUAGUGUGUUAAGUUUUCGGCUGUACCGCGUCACGUUCUUUAUGCUUUUAUUUUAAUAAAAAAGUGCAAUAAAAUCCAAAAAAAAAAAAGAGAAAAAAAUAAAAAUAAAAAAAAAUAUACAUAAAUGCAAGAAAAAUACAAUAGACCCAGGAUCUACAAUACAUUCGAAAGAAGGUGCAUCCGAAAUUCAGCAGAAAGUAAAAUAGUUAUUGAAAUUUCUGCAAUUGAGUUCGAAGCGCUCGAAGCUAUUUAAUUGCUGCCUUAGUGCUAGAGAUGGUCUACAGACACGAAACAAGGAUGCACUGCUAGAGACUACUAGACUAUUAUGUUGCAUCAGGCACAAUAAGAGGCCAACGAGAAAGACUGUACUUUGUUAUUGGAUUCUGAGGACCGACUCAGCGAUGCCAAGACAUUGCCGAGCAGGCGAAAGGGAGUAGGGAGCAGAGCAGCUCCCGCACCACGAAACAUAUUACGAAAAAUUGAAAUAGAAUUCGUAUCUGAUCCAA
rnacentral:sRNA from 1 species